AUUUGCUAUCAUGGCCGAUCUUGCAAGAUGGAGUUUAAAGUUCUGUUUGCCAGGGUCUCUCAGUGGUGACAUGAAAAAGGUCCUCCCAGCCAUAUCCGGCCAUAUCCAGCUCCCUACAGAGCUUCGUUCACAUAAGCAAGCAAGAAAUAAAGAAGUGGAAGCUGGAAAUCAUCCAGAGAAGCCAGGGAGGGAAUUCAAGGCAAGAACCUGGAGCUGGGAACUGAAACAAAAGCCAUGGAGGAACACUGCUUGCUGGCUUGUACCCCAUAGCUUUCUUAGAGCUUCCUGGACCACCUGUUCAGUGGUCUGGGCCCUCCCCCAUCAAUCACCAGUCAAGAAAAUACACUACAAGCUUGCCCACAGGCCAAUCUGGUGAGGUUGUUUUCUCCAUAGAAGUUCCCUCUCCCAA
rnacentral:lncRNA from 1 species